UACGGGGGGUGCGAGCGUUGUCCGGAAUCACUGGGCGUAAAGAGCGCGCAGGCGGUCGUUCAAGUCGCGUGUGAAAGCCCCCGGCUCAACUGGGGAGGGUCACGCGAUACUGAUCGACUCGAAGGCAGGAGAGGGUAGUGGAAUUCCCGGUGUAGUGGUGAAAUGCGUAGAUAUCGGGAGGAACACCAGUGGCGAAGGCGACUACCUGGCCUGUUCUUGACGCUGAGGCGCGAAAGCUAGGGGAGCAAACGGG
rnacentral:rRNA from 1 species